ACGAACGCUGGCGGCAUGCCUAACCCCUGCAAGUCGAACGAGACCUUCGGGUCUAGUGGCGCACGGGUGCGUAACGCGUGGGAACCUGCCCUUAGGUUCGGAAUAACUCCCCGAAAGGGGUGCUAAUACCGGAUAAUGUCUUCGGACCAAAGAUUUAUCGCCUUUGGAUGGGCCCGCGUUGGAUUAGCUAGUUGGUAGGGUAAAAGCCUACCAAGGCGACGAUCCAUAGCUGGUCUGAGAGGAUGAUCAGCCACACUGGGACUGAGACACGGCCCAGACUCCUACGGGAGGCAGCAGUGGGGAAUAUUGGACAAUGGGCGAAAGCCUGAUCCAGCAAUGCCGCGUGAGUGAUGAAGGCCUUAGGGUUGUAAAGCUCUUUUACCCGGGAUGAUAAUGACAGUACCGGGAGAAUAAGCUCCGGCUAACUCCGU
rnacentral:rRNA from 1 species